rnacentral:rRNA from 1 species
UCGGGAAUUUUGGGCAAUGGGGGAAACCCUGACCCAGCAACGCCGCGUGAAGGAUGAAGUAUUUCGGUAUGUAAACUUCGAAAGAAUAGGAAGAAUAAAUGACGGUACUAUUUAUAAGGUCCGGCUAACUACGUGCCAGCAGCCGCGGUAAUACGUAGGGACCAAGCGUUGUUCGGAUUUACUGGGCGUAAAGGGCGCGUAGGCGGCAUGACAAGUCACUUGUGAAAUCUCUGGGCUUAACCCAGAACGGCCAAGUGAUACUGUCGCGCUAGAGUGCAGAAGGGGCAAUCGGAAUUCUUGGUGUAGCGGUGAAAUGCGUAGAUAUCAAGAGGAACACCUGAGGUGAAGACGGGUUGCUGGGCUGACACUGACGCUGAGGCGCGAAAGCCAGGGGAGCAAACGGGAUUAGAU